rnacentral:rRNA from 1 species
AUGAAGAUCAUCACACUUUUAUUGAUUUACAACUCAAAAAUUACAACUCAAUACUUAGAACAAAAUAGGACUCUAUGGGGAUGCUUUCGGCGGUGUACCCGGAUAUGCAAUGAAUCAAGAGUGACAUGUAUGAAAAAUUAUGAAGGUGGCCUUGCCACAAAUACGAUGUCAACUACAUGA